rnacentral:lncRNA from 1 species
AUGGUAGCGUCUGCUGUGAUAGUGGGUCUCGUUUCAUCACCUCCGGUAAAAACCGAUCUGUUUGUACGGAAUCGCGGCAGAGAUUCGGGGGCUCGGUCUUUUCUUCUAGCGCGCGAGCAGGAUUCCCAAGCCGUCAAACUGGAGCCCUUUAGAAUGACCAUGUUUAAAGGGAAACGUCGAAAUCACCGGUAUAUUAACAUGGCCGGAGAGCCGAAACCCUACAGGCCUAAAGCAGGAUCCAAACGACCCCCUGGCUGCUGUCUACAGGUGAGCAUUUCCUAUUAAAUAUAAGUAGGCACUGUAUACAUAGACUACUUCAGAUAACAUACUGCCAGUUGUAAAUGAAAUGCUUUUGCCGCUCUUACAUGCUCCCUUGUUAGGAGAGCUGAGGUAGAGCGGAUUAAAGUCUGGUUUGUGUGACAGAAUGAAGCCAUCAGCACAUUUAUCAUAUUAUCAGGUUUAGAUAAGAA